rnacentral:lncRNA from 1 species
UGAUUUCUUCUCAACUUCAAUGAGACUUUUUUCAAUGAUUUCGUGGUUUAUUCUCAACUCUAAAUCUAGUGUUUCGUGCCUCUAAAAGGUUUCUUACAUAGGGUCCAAGUUCAUGCCAAGAAAGAAAUUUAAUCUGAAAAGGAUUCUACAUGAUUUCCUUUGAGCGUCGCAGCCCUCAUCAUCUAAAGCCACAGCUCUGAAUAUCCUAUAUUAUUGUCCACAUUUCUAAUGUAGUUUUUCAAAUUUGACAAAGAUUUAAACCACUUCCCGAUCAGAACUAGGCAAAUUGGAAAACGUGAAAGUUAUAGUGUUUUCUCUUAGCUUUCUAAUGAUCUAAUAAUCACCUUAUUUGGAGUUUUGUAGCAAAAGUUAUGGUUGAAAUAUUGAGACACAUGCAGUGAAGGUCUACACCCAACUUGACAACUUUUCUCUCUUUUAAUUUCAUACCUACGAUAUCAACAAAUUAAUCAAUAAUAACAUAUCUUAGGCACAUAAACACCAAUUUAGGCACAAAAUUCUCUAAGAUUAGAUUGACUCGUCUAAUUAACUAACUUAAAAUAAUUAAGUAAAACCUAAUUAAUUUCUAUACAUUACUACAAGACUAAGCUAACUUAAUAUCAAAAUUAAAUCCAAUUUAUAUCAUAGAGUUAUCAGAAAGAAAGAAAAGAAAAAGUUGAAGUGUUGAACACAAGAAAAAUUUGAUGAAAAAAGGGUAUAUUAGGCGAAGGAAAAUAAAGCUUUAAAUAAGUCCUAGAAUGGCUAUGUGCUUAGGGUGAUUUGAGCUACAUAUUAUUCCAUAUCCUACCUUAACCCUAGCCAUAUAUUACAAGCUCAUUAAAGUCCUUUUGAUUUUUAACUUAGUAUUAGUCUACAUUAGUGGAGAGAGGGAUGAAAACGAAACCUAUGGAACUUUAAUAAUAAUUUGAAUUUUGCAUGCAUAUAAACUUAUUCAAAUUAUAUAAUGUUCAAGGUGAAAAGAUUACACACACAUAGGGAAAUCCACUUAACAAUAAACUUGCAUUUGAAUUGAAAUGUGAGCUUGAAUAAUAUUUGUGUGUUGCUUAAAGUUGAGAAUAUGGAUUAACUUUCGAGGAUAUUAAAGGUAAUCAAUGAGUUGGUGUAAUUGAUUUCUAAUUAAGUGUUUUCUUCAUUUAGGUUGUUGCAUUUUAUUUUAUGUUUUGCUUGAGGACUAGCAAAAUCUUAAGUUUGGAGGUGUGAUAACUCUAUUAUAUAGAGUUAUUUUGACACAUUUUAGAGGCUUAAGUAGCUAGGUCUUUGAGAUUUUAGGUUCGAAUUCUAGUAUGUUAGGUGUUUUUCUUAAUUAAGUUUAAUUACAUGUUGAGUAGUUUAAUUUAAGUUAUUUUAGUUCAAUUUUACUUUAUUUUGCUUUAAAUUACUUUAAGAAUAGUUAUUGUUGAUUUCUCUUAUUGUUUUUGUAAGAAAUUUGAUGAGAAAGGUUAAUUUGAUGAAAAAUCACACAAGUAUGGUGAUGGCUCAAUUUAUACAUGUUGUCAUAUUUCAAGGUUAAAUUGAGCUACAGAAGUCAAAUUGAUGCACUUCUUAAUCUAUUGGAUAGAUUAGAGAUAGGGCUAUAACUUUUAUGUUUACCAUUUUACCCAUUUUGGAUUAGAUCAAUAUGAAAUCAUGUUGGAAUAGGCUAGGCUGUUAUAGUUCUGCACAAGGCAACACAUGGAAUAAAAGUUGCGACCUUGAGCUGCUCAAGGCUGCGGUGCCAAGGAGGCCAAGGUUGUGGCACUGAGGAUAGUGUGGUUGCAGCAAUGGUUGAAUGUACAUCCCCAUAGUGCCACUCAAGAGUAAAAGGCCGAAGCGUUACAAGUGAGGCCAUAGCCAAGAAAGGCAGUGUCGUAGAACCAAUAAAUUUUCCAAAAAUAAAAUGUUUUGCAAGAUUUAGGAAAUUAGGGUUUUUGGAGCUUAUUUAAAGGAUCCUUUUUUAAGGCUUUUAGGAAAGGACGACGAGCAACUAUUUUAGAGAAAAGGUGCCAAACCCUGUUCUAUAAAAUAAUUACGAUGCCAUUUACAUGCUCACUAAAAUGGUUGCAUAUUUAGGAAGUUUGAGAAAUCAUUAAAAGAUGAUAUUGCCCCUAAUAGUAUCAUUAAGUUGAUUAAGCCUCGAACUAGUUCAAAUAGGAAUUUUAAGGUGAAAUUAAGAGUUUCACAGUCCAGGGAUGACUCAAAAUGGUAAUUCGGAGUUCGAGGAUCAAUUUGGAGUCAAACCAAAAUUUUCACUAUCUAGGGGCAAAAUGGUCAUUUGCCACUUGGGGAUAAAAUGAGAAUUUUAAAAAAAAAUUAUUGGCCCCAUUUGACUUAUUGGAGUAUGAUUUGAGCAUUAGAGUAUGAUUUGAGGUUGAGAAGUGAAAAAUUGUAAUCCUGACAUUUUUCAGAGCAUAGGGGUAAAAUGGUAAUUUUACCACUACAGGGGCAAAAUUGUAAUUUUCCACCACCAAGACAUUUGUCCAGCACAUGGUCUUCCCUUAUCCUCAUUUUGACCUUUGACUAAUCAUGUGGUGGAGAUAAAAGGUUUAAAAAUGUUUAAAGUUUUAAAAAUGAACCAAUGAAAACAUGCCAUGUGUCAAGCUUAGGAUAUUUUAUUAUUUAACUUAAAAAUCAGCAUAAAUCAGCCCAUUAUCUCUCCAAAUAUUCAGCCAAGCAAGGAAGAGAGGGAAAGAAAGGAAGAACAAACUCUAGGUGAAGAAUUUCAAGAGAAAAAGUGUGGAAAAUCAAGGAAAACAAGUGAAAAAUGUAAGAUUUUUCAACUUAAGCUUGAAAUCUAUUUUCCUUAAGCAUUUCCCCUUAUUUUCCAUGGUUAAAUUACAUGUUUUCAUGAUGAAUUCAUGGCUGGUCAAAAUGGGAAUGGAGAGAAAAAGAUGUUAGAUUGAUUUGAUUCUAAGUUAUGUUAGUGUUUUUAGUUAGUUUAGCAUAUUUAGAAACAAAACAACAAGAAAAUAAUCCAUUUUCCCCAUGAACCUUCAAUGGCCGAACCCUAUGUGAAGUGUAGAAGUAAUGAAUUGAUUUUGCGAUCAAGUGAAUUGGUUGAAAAAUUGAUGAAAUGAUUAUUUAUGGUGAGAAAAUGGAAUGGGAAAAUUUUUAGUGAUAGUGCACCACAAUGGCUGAAAUUUUCAAGAAGAAUUAUGAGGGUUGUUAGGCUGAAUUUUAGAUUAUUGGAAUUGUAUUUAAUGAAUUGAAAUAUUAGAAAUGAAAUGAAGCAAUUUGGAGCGAAAUCGGACACAAUUGUCACUUAAUCGGGUAAUAGGCCGAAUUAGGUCAGCACCGCAUUUAAACGGUAGUCGUAUAAGUUGCAUAUCAUAUCAUGCAUAUACAUCGAGCCUGAAUUGAUUUUAUAAUGGUCAAGCAUUAAUGUGGAGAAUUAUGUAUUGUACAUUAUGGAUAGGUGGUGAGUAAAUUACACUGGUAAAAGUACAGAGAUUGUACUUGGAGACUGGGAUUAGGAGUACAUCGACUCCUAAAACUGUGAGAAAACUUAUUAUCGUCUUAAUUAUCUAAAGUAGUUUUAUACAAUUGUAUGAUUUUAUAGAAAUGAGUUUAAAUGGUAAAUUGCUAUGUUUUAGGAGAAAUUGUGAUUUUAUAAAAUGAUUUUAUAAAUUUUUUGAAAAAUUGAAUACUGGUUUUGAAAAUAGAGUAAUUGGAGACUGCCUGCUUGUAUUAUAAAUUGUGUUUUCAAAACCAUCCAGCCAUUCAUGCCCACAUUAUCAUAAGCCAUUCAAUUCAAAACAUAAUUUACAAUACAGCAAGUAGUCUCCAAUUACUCCAUUUUCAAAACCAUCAUUCAAUUUCAAGACAAUUUAUAAAAUCAUUUCAUUUAAUCACAUUUUGCUUAUAAAACAUAAAGAUUUACUAUUUAAACUCAUUUUUCCAUCAAAUCACAAAAAUGAAUAAAAACUACUUUAGAUAAUUAAGACGAUAAUAAGGUUACUCAUUGUAAUGGGAAUCGAAUUCGGGAUACUUUGAUUCUUGAUCCUUAGAUACUACCCCUUUCCUCUUGCCAGAAUGCUCACCACCUUGACAUAAUGCACAAUAAGCAAUUUGUUACAUUUGUGUUAAACCGUUGUAAAACCAAUUCAGGCUUUACUAAUGCAUGAAAUGGGAUGUGAAAUACUCGAGUAACUAUCUAAAUACGGUGUUCAAUAUAAAUUCAAUUAUGUACCUAAAUAAAAUGGUAUUGGCCUAAUUCGAUCUAUCACCCGAUUAAUUGGCCAAUACGUCCAAUUCAACUCCAAACAAUUUCAUUUCUCUCCCAAUACUCCAAAUCAUUAAACACAAUUUAAAUAACUUGAAAUGUGGCAAAAUCAUCCUCACAUUUUCUCUUGAAAAAUUCGGCCAUGGUGAGUGCACUAACAAUAUAAUUUUUCAUGCUUGAUUCUCACACCAUAAAUCAUUCAUUCCUAAUCAAAUCACUUGAAAUUCAAUCAAAUUCAUCAUCAAUAUUCCACAUGGAAUAUUCUGCCAAUGAAGGUGAUGUAAGAACAUGAAUUUUUCUUAUUUGCUUUUCAUACUACACAUCACCAAACAACUAAAAACACUAGAAUAACAUGUUUUCUAACUAAAUUCAUCAUCAAAUUCUCUCUCCUAAGGGUUGAUCAACACACUAUCCUUCAUGAUAUCUUGUGAUUCAACCAUGAAAAAUGCAAAAUAAUGCAUAGAAAAGGUAGAUCACAAGCUAGCAUUAAGAAAUUUUACCUUUAAUGGCUUGAUUCCUUGAAAAUCAACAAUUUCCCUUUGAAUUUUUCUCUCUAUGGUUUUUGUUCUUCCUUUUUUCUCUUUUUCUCUCUUUGGCAGACCAAG